AAGGACCCAUUAACACCACCGCUAAUUGGAUGCCGGGAUAACGAACCGCGGUCGGAGAGCAGAGCUAUGGUGGCCGCCAUGGUUGGGAUGGGAGGUGCUGCAAUGGGGGUCCCAGCAUUGAUUUGGGGGGGGGUCCCAUCACUGAGUGUGGAUAUGGGGGGGCCCAAUGGGCGGUCAUGGUGCCACCAAUGGGGGGAGAACCCAAUUAACGUCAGUGUUAAUUGGAUGGGGGGAUAACGAACCGCGGUCGGAGCGCAGCGCUAUGGUGGCCACCAUGGAUGGGGACUGGAGGUCCUCCAAUGGGGGUCCCAGCCUUGAUUUGGGGGGGGGUCCCAGCACUGAGUGUGGAUAUGGGGGGGCCCAAUGUGUCAUCAUGGUGCCACCAAUGGUGGGAGGGACUCAUUAACACCACCCCUAAUUGGAUGGGGGGAUAACGAACCGCGGUCGGAGCGCAGCGCUAUGGUGGCCACCAUGGAUGGGGACUGGAGAUCCUCCAAUGGGGGUCCCAGUCUUGAUUUGGGGGGGGGUCCCAGCACUGAGUGGGGCCAUUGGGAGGGGGGGGGGCGCAAUGGGUCAUCAUGGUGCCACCAAUGGGGGGAGGGACUCAUUAACACCACCCCUAAUUGGAUGCCGGGAUAACGAACCGUGGUUGGAGAGCAGAGCUAUGGUGGCCAGCAUGGAUGGGGAGUGGAGGUCCUCCAAUGGGGGUCCCAGCAUUGAUUUGGGGGGGGGUCCCAGCACUGAGUGUGGAUAUGGGGGGGCCCAAUGUGUCAUCAUGGUGCCACCAAUGGUG
ensembl:lncRNA